UACGGGGGGAGCAAGCGUUGUUCGGAUUUACUGGGCGUAAAGGGCGCGUAGGCGGUCAGCACAAGUCAGUUGUGAAAUCUCCGGGCUUAACUGGGAGGGUGCGGCGGAAACUAGAGUGCUAGAGGGUGGGAGAGGUAAGCGGAAUUCCUGGUGUAGCGGUGAAAUGCGUAGAGAUGUGGAGGAACACCGAUGGCGAAGGCAGCCCCCUGGGUCAAAACUGACGCUCAUGCACGAAAGCGUGGGGAGCAAACAGG
rnacentral:rRNA from 1 species